rnacentral:rRNA from 1 species
AUGACUAGUUUGACCUGUAUAUGUAUUUUACUGUACAGUGAUACUAAUUGCCUUAAAUUCAAAUUUGUUUUAAAAUGGAAGACCGCACUUCUUUCUUAGUAGGACGUCGCGAUCCGCUAAAAAUUUACCUAUGGAUACAAUAAAAGUCUGUUUUUAAUUAUUUUAUAUAAUUAAUACAGGUGUUGUAAUACUGGUAAUGUUUUUAACGGUAUUAAUGACAGUGGUGAUCCGCUUUAUAAGCGUUCAAAAUAUAUACAAGUUGUGUUGUAUUUUGAGCAAGUAAAACUUAUCAAGUUGUACUUAGUUCUUGCAAUAUCAACUGUUAGUAUAUAUAUAUUUGAACUGUGUUCACAGCACUAGUCAGCGGCGCAACAGUUUCAAUAACAUUUCCGACCCGUCUUGAAACACGGACCAAGAAGUCUAACAUGUACGCAAGUCAUKGGGUUUAUAAAACCUAAAGGCGUAAGGAAAGUGAACAAAGUUUUACUUUUUUUAAGGAAGAUGGUUGUUGUUUAAAUUAAWCGCAAUCCGCAUUCCUGGGGCGCUUAAUUGAUUUCGUAUUAAAGCGCACCUAGAGCGUACAUGUUGGGACCCGAAAGAUGGUGAACUAUGCCCGGCCAGGACGAAGCGCAGGGAAAAGGCCUGGUGGAGGUCCGUAGCGAUUUUGAAGUGCAAA